rnacentral:rRNA from 1 species
CCGUUGUGGUGCUUGCACUGCGGCGGGUUAGUGGCGAACGGGUGAGUAACACGUGAGGAACCUGCCCCAGAGUUCGGGAUAACCCGGGGAAACUCGGGCUAAUACCGGAUGCCCUUUUUCGGUCGGAUGGCCGGUUGAGGAAAGAUUUAUCGCUUUGGGAGGGUCUCGCGGCCUAUCAGCUUGUUGGUGAGGUAAUGGCUUACCAAGGCUUCGACGGGUAGCUGGUCUGAGAGGACGAUCAGCCACACUGGGACUGAGACACGGCCCAGACUCCUACGGGAGGCAGCAGUGGGGAAUCUUGCGCAAUGGGCGAAAGCCUGACGCAGCGACGCCGCGUGGGGGAUGAAGGCCUUAGGGUCGUAAACCCCUUUCAGCAGGGACGAAGAUGACGGUACCUGCAGAAGAAGCCCCGGCCAACUACGUGCCAGCAGCCGCGGUAAGACGUAGGGGGCGAGCGUUGUCCGGAAUUAUUGGGCGUAAAGGGCUCGUAGGCGGUUCGGUAAGUCAGAUGUGAAAACUUGGGGCUCAACCCUGAGACGCCAUCUGAUACUGCUGUGACUUGAGUUCGGUAGAGGAGUGUGGAAUUCCUGGUGUAGCGGUGAAAUGCGCAGAUAUCAGGAGGAACACCUACGGCGAAGGCAGCACUCUGGGCCGAAACUGACGCUGAGGAGCGAAAGCGUGGGUAGCAAACAGGAUUAGAUACCCUGGUAGUCCACGCC